rnacentral:misc_RNA from 1 species
GAUGAAGAACGCAGCGAAAUGCGAUACGUAGUGUGAAUUGCAGAAUUCAGUGAAUCAUCGAAUCUUUGAACGCACAUUGCACCUCUCGGUAUUCCGGGAGGUAUGCCUGUUCGAGCGUCAUUUGUACCCUCAAGCUCUGCUUGGUGUUGGGUGUUUGUUCCGCCUCUGUGUGUGAACUCGCCUCAAAACAAUUGGCAGCCGGCGUACUUGUUUCGGAGCGCAGCACAUUUUGCGAUCCAGAUCAACGUACAGCGGCAUCCAAGAAGCCUUAUUUUUAACGCUCUUGACCUCGGAUCAGGUAGGGAUACCCGCUGAACUUAAGCAUAUCAAUAAGCGGAGGA